AAAAAACCCAGCCACCCCGAAUAGUCUCAGCCCACUCCCGUGCGUGCUGGAUAGGGUUCCUGCCACCCUCACCGGUCGCGCCGCCCUCACCGGUCGCCGCCGCCGUCGGUUUCCCCUACAUGGCCGGAGGAUAGGCCAUCCCGCCGGUCCAUUCCUGCCCCACUGCGAGGGAGGAGACCGACCAGUUGCGCCUCCCCGCUGGUCGCCGCCAGCCACCCCAAGCUAUGACAUACCCCACCGCCAGGAGGCGAGGAGGCCGCCAUGGAGGCCCGUCCCGAGCUCGCCUCGCUGCUCCUCCGGUGACCCUCGUUGCGCUUGGAUCCGGGCGGAUCCGACGAUUCCCCGACGCGCAGGCGGGCGGGCACGCGGUGCUAGGCAAAGGAGCCCUCCCAUAGCGGAUGAAUCGACUGUAGUGUGCAGCAGAUCGGACAACUGUAGUCGUCCAUGAGGCUGCUGGCGGAUGCUGUGUGGAGGAAGGACGGUCCCCAGAACAUAAUGCAGUAGUCGCCCACUUAGUACUCUGAUUGCUCGUGAAGGCAAGGUCUUGCGUGAAGGUCAUCCUCCUACAUCGCUGUGUCAGGCACUCUGAUUGCUCGUGUUGAUUGGAGUUAGAAAAGAGGAACCCAGAUUUUUGUCCGUGAACUGUAAGCAGCAACAAGAUCUUGCAAUUUCUAAUUUUCUUUUCUAGCCAUCUACGUGAUUCAGGUGCCUGGUUCCGUGCACUCCUUUGCAUUUUUUUGGUUCAAUCAGCAGCGUUCUUAGUUUCUUCUAUCAUAUGUUUGUGUGCUAAUUCCAUGCCUUGCUCCAGUAACUAACAAGACUGCUCUUAAUUUACCAAGAUGUCAUCUAGAAUGUAUCCAUCUGCUAAUGACUUGAUGGAGUCAUAGAAAUGAGCUAUUGACACUUUUUUAGAACAGAUGCAACUGCUUGUAAUUCUGAAUAAUUAGCUUUAGUUACUGUUAAAAACAACCCGUGAAAAACUUCUUGACUGGCCCUGCUCACGAGAGCCGAAAUCCCUGGGCCCCCGAAAUUUCUUGAAUGGCCCUGCUCAUGAGAGCCGAAAUCCCUGGAGGCUGGAGUGGUAGAGGAUCUCAUGCGACAGUGGGUUGAAAGUGAGCUAGACGCUCGUACCGCCGGUUUCGAACGCGUGCUGCCGGUCGUCUCCUUGUGUCCUCCAGUGGCUUCCAUUGAGGUAGGCUUUGUGGAGGCAUGUGUAUGUGUUGUAGUCUGUAGAGUUAGUCGUGCGUCGGUGCUCACCAGGUUCAUCCUGUGGCAUUUCUUGGAGCAGAUGCGGUCGACAUGUAUGCUGGGAGCAUGCUAAUGGGGGCACCUCAAGUGUUCGACGGAAUGGCUAUCAUAUUGGUGCUUUACCAUCUCACCUCACCACCACGUGAGCAAAACCACCUACCAGAGCAUCGGGGUUGAUUUGUCUGGUUUUAGAAAGUAGAGGGGAUUAAGAUCCCGGUUUUAGAGGUCAGGGCCUCAGGGGGCUAUGUGGCCAAAAUGUAAUACUUAUGGGGUCAUAUACACUUUUUUUCUUAAAUCUAAUAGGUUUCUUCCUCAGUGAUAUCCCAAAUUAUCCCACCAAGAACGAUGGCCGCGUCGUCCUGGCGUGCGCUCCCGGCCACCUGGCGGGAUGUCCAGGCUGUCGUUGCCAAGGACGUGGAGCUGCACUGGCCUCUAUUGGCGCACCGUGCCCAAUGUUAGUGCUGCCAAUAUUGCUUAUUUGAUCAACUUCGGGUCUGCAAUAGUUUAAUCAGCUCUUUUUAGAGAUAUAGACUAAUCAAUACAGUAGCUUAAUAACUUGUAAUCACUAGGGCCAAUUAGCUGAUGGGAGACAGGGAGAACGAAGGUUGACGAGGCUUAGGCAGUCUGCUGACAGGAAAUGCAAUAGUGAUUUCGCAAGAGAAAUGGAGGUGAUGGCUAGGCUCUGGCACGACAAUGUUGUCCGCCUCCUUGCUUACUUCAGUGAAUGCGAUGAGCGGAUACUCAUCUAUAGCUAUAUGUCGAACAACAGCAUGGAUCUCUGCUUAUACUUCUAUAUUUUUUCUUGCCUAUGCUCAGAAUUUGGAUCACAAUAGUAAAUAGAUCAUUAGGUUCUCUUCUAUAAUUGUUGGUUGUUGUUGUUCUGUGCUCCAACACAUACGAGCAGCUCAUUGUUGCACGGAGAUAAGUUUCAUGCACAUAAUUAAAGUUCCGGAUAACCGAAGUACAAAUCUGUAAAUACCUUUAGAGGAAGCUUGUAUGCUUGACAUGCUUGACCAUGUAAAAGCUCAUGCAUGAGUAAUUAUAUCGUCAGGUUAUUCUUUUUAUCUGCAAGGUGAGCUUCAAAAUUCUGUAAACUAGCAUUUCCAAUAGUUCAGAGCUGCCACUUUACUUUCAGUAUUUAGGUGGAUGAUCUCUGUUUAAAUUCCUAAUACAAGUAAUGCACUCCGGCAAGUUCUAUUUAUUUGUGUCCUUGCUGCCAAUAGAUGUAAUUUCAUCGCGAGCACCCAAGUACAGCAGCACUAUUGUCGUUCAUUAUUGUUGGCUUAUGCCCUAGAGAGAAAAUAAUUAGCAUUUACCUCUGUGUACCGGACUGUAGUUGUACCAUAUGCCUAUUGUAUCAUUUUCAUCCUUGAUAGAUGCAGCGAGUAAAUUGUCACUGAAAAAUGUUGUGGUUGCAGCGUUUGUUUUGUUAAUUCUGCAUUCCUUCCUUUAUGAGAAAAGUGUUACUUCUGCGUUAGUUAUAUGUUAUGUUUCUCUAUGUCCAUUGCUUGUAUUGACUUCAGAUUGUGCAUAUGUGGAGAAGCAUGUCUGCUCCGAGUGGAGAGGACUUUCAGAAAGACAACUUAGACACUUGCUUUAGCAUUCACGUUUACUAUUUUUGUAAAAAUAUUCAUACGUGUGUUUGAAUUGUUUUUAGUAGCUGUCUUUAUUACUCUCUCUGAUUGAAAAAAAAUCGGAGGCUGCCUACAGCAAGUCCGUUUGUCAUCAGCGCCUUUCUUUGCUUGGUAGCUCCACAUCCAAUCUUUCAAGCUACAUCCAUAUGUAAGAAAGUUACAAUUAAUCCAGUACUAAUAGUUUUGUACGUACGUAUAUGCGCACUCACCCCUUCUAUAUACAUAUGAUUCAGGAACAUCUUUUACUAGCAUUUUGUUUCAUUGCCCCAUACAAAAUGUAUGCAAGUGAUGUCUAUUGUUUUUUUCCUUUGUCUAAAUAUACUACAGUGCUAUCCAUGUGCCAGAGCCAUGAGUUGGUUGUGAGAUCUUAUGGGUUUCACCUCUAACCUACCCCAACUUGUUUGGGACUAAAGGCUUUGUUGUUGUUGUUGUUGUUGUUGAAGCAUGUCUUGAAUAAAAGCUGGUUGGCGUAGCACGGGCAUCUUGCUAGUUAGUACAUAUAUGCCUUGAUCAUGCUUUUCUUCCUUUGUGUGUUACAACGAACCGUGCAUACUGUUGUGAAUCGUGAAAAGCAUAUAUAGCUGUGCUAUAGAUUGAAAAGCUAAGUAAACAAAAACAAUCAAACUUCUUUAGGCAAUAAGAAAUCCAAUUAGUAAACAACAAAGGAAUACAAUUCCAUAGUUCCACAAAUAACCAUUGCAGAGGUUUGAUUGUUUAGGCAAGCUGCUUACUGCUCUCCGCCAUUCGUCCGAGUAGAUCAGUUCAGUCUGUUUGUUUAUUAUUAAGUACUUGAUGUAGCUAGCUUUAAGGUUUCCAUCCGUUCUUCAUUCUAGGCUAACAACUAAUUUAUACUUUUUUUAUGUAGGCUAUAAUUUCCAAUAUUUAUGUUUGCUAUAUAUUUGUUUUUUUCCUGAACAUAUAGCCAGACAUUAGGAGUGAAGGGCUCCAAGGUGGCGCAAUGGUUUACAAGAAAACAUCCAAAUGGAGAAGAGCAAAAAUCGCUAAGGCUGUGUAUCUUUCUCACCUGCUCUUUCAAACACAAUAAUUCUUUAUAUUAUUCCCCUUUUUUAUUUGUUAAAGCACAAUUAAUUAUCGGCGAGAAUGUAGGGGCAACGCAACAUUUCAUGUCUGACAUGCUAUUUUGGUUUAGCUAUAUUAAGUAAGUUACUCUGACCACAUCGAUACCGAUGUUGUAUGUAUCAAAAGUCAUCCUUCUACGUGGAUUAAUAAAGAAGGAUGAGAUGGUCAUAACUGACACUUUAGCAACAUACUAAAUUCUACACAUCGCAUAGUAGUAGUAGUAUUUUUUCACUGCGAAAAGCAACCCUUUAUUAGUUUUCAAAAUUAUAUUUCAUGGCUUUCAAAGUUUUAAUAUGAUUGUUGUUGCUAUCUGCCAUGUCGCAAACGUCGGCCGGUGCACACCAUGUUGCGUGUUGUUCUGCGAUUUCUGAGAUUUGCUUUAGAUCACGGAAGCUUGGGUUGAUGGAGUGCUUGUCUUUAGUUUUUGUUUUGACUUUGUGAAACUUGCUACCUAUGAUGAAACUGUGUAAU